CCUUUGAAUCAUCUCGUGAGUAGAGAUCGAUGUAAUAGACUGCCUCCAGCCUUGGUAAGCCUCUGCGGAUUGGCCUAUUCAACGCAUGAAGUAUUUCAUCAGAAAGCUGAGGGCUUACUUGAGUAACCAUUGAUUCCAGGUGAGAAGUAGUGAAAGCUAGGGCUUCAUCCAGGAUAUCUUCCCCGCGAAUGCGAAGAUGUGCAGCCUCAUACAAAUUUAGCAUGCCGGUCACAUCAUUAAUUAAGGAUACCUUGAACUUUCCUCGAUCAUCUUUGAAACCGCCAAAAAUAUCUGCUUUCCCAUUCAAAGAGUAAUUCGACUGAUAUCAAUCUCACAUAAUGGUCUAAAUUGAUUUAAACCAUAUAGUUCAGGUAGCGAUAUGUAUAAAAGGGCAAACUCCCAUUUAGCUAGUCUCUAGAUUUGUUUAGCCAAUUGGUCAAUUAGUCUUUUUGAAUUUUCAGAACUUUUUUAAAAUGUUGGAUCUUACCUUUUAAGAUUAAAUUCUUUUUUUUUAAUGUAAAACUGACAUGGAUAACAAUUGAAAAGUAAAGAAUAAUUAGUUAGAUUUUUAAUAGAGACAAAUAUACUAUAUAAAUGUUUUGGUCUGAAAUACAUAGAGAUUAAAGAAGAGUUAUAAGCUAUGAUAAAGAUUUUAUUACCGCAUGAUAUGCGAUAUCCUUGUUGUCUGAGUAACCGAAAUCGAAGAGCAACGGAGUGUACAUCGUUGCCAUCAUACUCAUCAGGAGAUAGUUUUUCUAGUUCAUCUUCUAUCUCCCUCUCAAAAUGGUAAGCCACUCCUAAGCGUUGGACGGCAUCAAUCAAGCUCAAUUUUUGAAAAGACUUGUCGGUUGGUGAGAUUAACAUGUUCUUUAUUUUUUGCUUAAGUGCUUCAAAUUCGUCUUGAUCAAUUGUGGGAUCCAUUGCCUACAUACGCAAGAGAGAAAGUUGACAAGUUCAUUGAGAAAAGUGGAAGUUAGAUACUUUUGCUAUGAAAAUACACGCCAAGAAAGUACUAGAAUAUGAACAUUAUUAAUUACCACAGAGUCGUCAACAGAAGAAUAGUCAAGGAAUUUUUCCCCCCAGAGGGUGGGAUGAUAACUAGCUGUGGGACGGUUGCCGGCUGUAGCAUUCAGAAUGGAAGAAGGAACUUCUGAAUCUUGAAGUGCCAUUAUCUUAUUCUCUGGUUAAUUAGGCCUAGCUAGCUAAAUGAUGAUAUAAUUCCUUUGGGCUUGGUGUGUUUCAAGGACUUGUCUGAGCUUUGGUAUUUAUAGGAGAUUCUGAUAAUUGGAGUUGCGUAGGAAAUUAAUUUUAAAUUGAAGGGACAGCAAUAUCUCACCGGUGAAAAGGUUAUAAUCCAUGUUGUAAUUAUGUAAAAUGUGCGGCAUGCAUGCGUUACUGAUCAACUAUUUUUUAUACGCCUAUCAUAUAAAUUUAACUCGAUUUUGAUUCUAAGACAAAGUAAACACAUAAAUAGUAAUGCAACUCAUUCUAAUUAUUAUUUCUGCAAUUCAAGCAGCUAAAUUAUUACGAUUUCAAUUCUUCAUAAGUAUUAUUUACAUUUUACUAUAAAAUUGUAAACCACUUUAUAUUUAAUUAGACCACUCUAUAUAAUUUACAAUUUAUUCAUAAGUAUUAUGAAUUUUAUAAUGCAUUCACAAAACAAGAAUCAAAUUUAGCUGGAAAUAUAAUGAGUUACAAUCAGAAUAGCUACAAUCAAAAUGAGGAAUUGGAAUCAGAAUAAUUUAUUUACUUGAACUGCAGGAAUUAUAAUUAGAAUGAGUUGUAUUACUAUUUAUGUGUUUAUUUUGUUUUAAAAUCAAAAUUAGAAUAAGUUAAAUUGUAACAAACUGUUAUAAAAUCCUUAGUUAAUUUUUAUCAUAAUUAUUAUUUUGUAUUUUAAUAUUUGCUAUUGUUAUUAUUAUUCAAAAAUUAAUUAUUAAUAAUAAUUAUUGUUAAUUAUUUAUUAUUAUUAAUAACUUAAUGAAAAAUUAUUAUUAAUUGUUGUUAAUAGAUUAAUUAAUUAUAAUACUUUUUAUUCUUGUUAUUAAUAAUAACAAUAAUAAUCUAUUUAAAAAUAUAAUUAUAUUUAUGCUUAUAAUAAAAUAAUAAUAACAGUUAUAACUCAUUUAAUAAUUAUUAUAUUUUUAAUUAAAUGGAGGUUAUUUUGAAAAUUUAAAAUUAUAGGGGCGAAAUCGUACUCUAGGAUUUUAAUAAAAUAAAACUGAAUGUAAGGGGCUAAACGAAAUUUUAUAAUCUAAAAAUUUUUAUAAUAUUUAUAAAUAAAUUAUAAAUAAUAUAGAGUCUAGGGGCCUAUAUGAAAGUUUACAGGCUAGCCCUAAGUUACAUUAAAUAUAACUUAGGCUAACCCUUAUUAUAUAGAUAAUGACAAAUAUUUUAAAGUUUUUAUUUUCAAAGAAUAAAUAUUUGCAACCUUAAACUUUCAGAAAAUAAUUAGAUAAUUUCAAAUUUUUUUAGUAACGGACGCCUUACCAACAAAUUAUUCAAUGCCAACAAAAAAUAAUUCAAUAUACCUGUGAAAAAUAUGCCUGGAGACAACUUUUAUUAAUUUUCAAAGGCGGCUGACUUAGAAUGAUGUACGUGCUUGUCUCUGUGUGUGUAUAAUUAUUCUAGAAUGCGGAUGUCCCACAAAUAUCUCACAAAUUUUUAGAAUAAGUACAAGUUCUCACAAAUAUCUCUUAGUUAACGUGAAAAAUAUGCCCCCGACAACUUUUCUUUAAUUUUCAAAGGAGGCUCUGACUAAGAAUGAAUAGGCCGCUUAACUUAGUAGAAGUGUCUUGAUGUUUCUGCAACAUGUUAUGUACUAACAUUUUUUCAAUGUCCCCACGGAGGAAUUGCCAAGCAAAGACAAAACAGAAUUCCUUUUCUAAUCUUUUAAAAUCAUUCUCCCUCUUGAUUCAGUACAGAUUCAAUUAAUUAAGGAAGUUGUGUACUCCAGUUCCAGUUGAAGAAACUGUUCAUGGCAUUGCAGUUUUCAAUCAAAAUAAAAUAAAAUCUGCCAUAUCGGUAAAAUAAUUAUCCACGCAAUUUUUUUCUACAGUGAAAUUUAAUAUUAUCAAAGAAAAAUUCAUUCUUCGGAAUUUAUUUUAUUUUUAAUUCAAAUAAACUAACUACCUAAUUGCUCGCCACAAAAAAAAAAAAAAAAGUUCGUUUAGGAACUCUGUUGAAGUUAAAUCUGCUUAUGAUUUCAUUGUCCCUGAAGGCACCUCAUUACUCUUUCGACAUUAAACUUAAAAAAGAAAAAAAGAAAAAGAAAAAAAAAAGAAUGUUAUUUAAUUAUUGCAAUGAGUUUGUUGUGAAAGUCUUAACGUCGUAAGAGUAAAAGAGUAUUAUGAAAACUGUAAAAAGAGUCCCACUGACCUGCCGCUGGUCUCACACAAGUCCUCCUUAUGCAGAAAUCAGUUUUUUUAUUUCCUUGUUCCUUUUUCAUUAAUUUUAUGCGCAAAGCACAAUUGGAUGUAUGUUCAAAAUAAUUCUCCCAUGUUCCGUUUUAUUCAUCGAACCAGCAUCUUCAAUAUUUUCCUUAUCACCUUAUACACUUUAAAAGUUGAAAGCAAAAGACGCACAUAAAUUAACAUAUUUUAAAAAAAAUGAAAAAUAACGAAAUGGAUUAGUAGAAACAUCUUAAUAUGUUUUUGGAACUUGCCCACAUUUUUUUUUAAAUAUAAAGCGUCUCUAAAAGAGUUAGGACAAGACUAAAUGGGAUUGGGCAACCACAUACAUGUUAUGAGCUUGCCCACAAAUCUUUUAUGAUAUCUAAGUAAAAUAUAAUUUCGUACUGAAGAGUUGAGAAAAAUUAAGGUUAGCAUAAAUAAUGACAUGAUUAAUGGAUGUGAGGAUAGGUGUCCAACGUAAUAAUAGUUUAACUAUUUUUAUUAUAAUUGAAACAAAAUUUCUGAAUAAUCGGGUUUAUUAAAUAAUAAUGAAUUGACAAAUCUAGGGUUUUGACCCCAUUAUAUAAUAACCCUAAAUAUUGUGAAUUUAUCAAAAUAUUUAAAUCUGAAAUAUUAUGUUAUAAUAAAAUUCUCCUAAUCUAAAUAAGAAAAGAAAAACAGUGUUCAAAUCCGAAUUCUAGAAAAAAAAGAUAAAAAUCCUAGAAGAAAUAAGAAAAAUAAAAAAAAUUUUAAAAUUGAAAAGUGACGAGGAAAGAAGUAGAAUUUUUAGCUCGACCACGAGAUAGAACUAAGCAAGCUGUUCUGGGUUGGUUCAUCUUAUCGCAAGUUUUAAAACAGUACAUUAUACGCUAAAAACGGACAUCUGUAGUACAAGUCAUGGCCUCCAGAAAAUACUCUGUUUUUAAUACACAACAAUCGUACAUCACCUCUUCCCUUCCCUUACUCAUAAGGCAAAAGAUUCAAAUAUCCCAUAAUUAAGGAUGUAUCAUUAAAAAAAAUAAACUGGUUAUUUUUGUUAAAAAAAGGAAGAUAAAAGAGAACAAAAUAUGAUGAAAUAAUGAUAAAAAUAUUUGUCCUUUUUGUGAAAUUUUAAUUAAUACAUGUACAAAUGAUCAUUUUUAAUUAACUCGCAUAUAGACUCAUAAAUAUGAAUUAAUACUUUUGUACAUGCGUGGAUUGCAGAUAAGUGAUACUUCAAAUCAAGAGGAAUACAAGUCAGGAGCCUGAUAAGCCUGCCCAUAAGUUGCAAUUGAAUGAUGCAGUCCAACGAUUGGGUGUGGCCUAUCACUUCGAACAGGAGAUAGAAGAUGCAUUAAAAAAUAUUUAUCAUGAUAACUUUGACAAUUGUUGAUGCCAAAAUCCAUUGAGUCGAUUAGUGACUCGAUCUCAGAUCCCUGCAUCAGCAUUAAAUUUGUUUGGUGGGAAGCUACUGGUUGAUCUCCAAGAAGAUCCUCCGACUAUGAACAGAAUAUUCAUGAGCAGAUAAUCUUCAAGCUGCGAAUCAACAAUUACCUGAAAUUACAGAGAAUGGUCAGGGUGCCAGAAGUUUUUCCGGCGAAAACCCUCCGACGCUCAAGUCAGUUUAUAGGUUUACGGGAAAAACCAAAUAUUUAAUUUAUAAUUUUUGUGAAGAAAGUAAUCUUAAGUAAAUGUAAUAGAAAAAUCAAAAUUGAGAAAGAAAGUUCAACCUCCCUUGGCAUGUUUUCUUUGGGUUUUUAUAAACACCCCACACCCACGACCUUAAAUCGUGGCAAUUAAUGAAUUAAAUUCAUACCCUGAUUUUUUGAAGGUGAUAUGUGGCGGUUAUUUUGAUUGAGUCAUGCUUCUUGGUGACUUGGUCCAAUGGCUCCUCAAACCCGUCUGCUUGAGGUCACCAAAAUUGCCACAUGGUCGAGAUAGCUGGCUCAAGGUCAUAAGAUUUACCCCCUGGUCGAGGUGACUGCUCAUGGUCUCAAGAUUACCACCUGGUCGAGGUGGUCUGCUUGUAGUCUCAAGAUUACCACCUGGUCGAGGUGGUUUACUCAUAAUCUCAAGAUUGCCACCUGGUUGAGGUGGUAUGCUCAUGGUCUUAAGAAUUACCACCUGGUCAAAAUGAUUUGCUCAUGGUCUCAAGAUUACCACCUGGUCGAGGUGGUCUGCUCGUAGUCUCAAGAUUACCACCUGGUCGAUAUGGUCUACUCAAGGUCACUAGAAUUACCUUCUAUUAGCCUAUCAACCAUUUGCUCACUUUUUAUUUUAGGAGAUCAUGGUUACCCUAUUUUAUUCCCCAAACAACUAUCUUUAAGUGUUGUAAUUCAUGACGGCAUGCUUCCUCAACAAUUCUUUCCUUUUGAAAGUCUUUCCUUGCCUCUACUUCCACCUUUUCCAUCACUCUUGGGUGUUUAAGCUUUUUUGACAGGGCGCAUUCUAUAAAAAUGUCCUGAAAUGGGAUUAUAAUUUGAGUCAUACAUGUAUAUGUUGAUGUAAUUUAUGAAUUUUUUUUAGAAACUAAAGCAAAGAAAGGUUGAAAUGGCUCAUAAACAGUAUAUUUUGUGGAUCCUUGCUUUGAGUAUAAUGAAAUGGCAAAAAUUGACAUCCCCGAAUUUUUUAACACCGUUAGAUAAAAGCCAGAAGCACUUUGGGUUGGGUUUUAGAGCCAUGACAAGCAGCAAAACCAACCCAAUCUAAAUCUCGGCUUUAAUCCUAGGCCCUUUCUGGUCCAAUCAAAUUUUAAACUGAUUCCACACCUAAAAAGUGUCCCAAUUUGGUCAGAUUUAGGGAUGACAAAUUGGUCUAUUCAAAUUGGAUAUCCAUAUAUCUAAUUCAAUUGGAUUGGAUAAUAUCCAUCCAAAAUCAUUUUGGAUGUGGAUAUAGAUAAUUUUAAAAAUAUCCAAUAGAUAUUGGAUGAGUAUGGAUAUUUAAUGGAUAUCCAAAAUCCAAUUAAUUUAUAUGAAAAAAACAAAAACAAAUGUACUAAAUUAUUGUUGUUAGUUUUAGCAAGCGAAGGAGGCACAAACUCUUCAGCCAUCGGAUUCAGCUUCGAGAACAGCUGAAAUCCCCUCCGCCGUUGGAUCGUUGAUUGUUCUGGUUGUACAAUCCCUGAUCGAGCGACAUCACCAUCGCUCCUCCGUUUUGCUUCGGAUGAUCCUGACCGUUUGAUGCCGAUAUCGAUCCCGCUGACGAUACAACUGAAUCUUGACUCGCUGAUUCAACAACAACCAUGGUUUCUUUUUUCCUUUCUUUUUUUCCUUCUUGUCCCUGGUUGACUCUCUCAAAAAUCUUGACUUUGGAUUGAUCAAUCCUCUUAUCUGUGUAGUAUUUGCCUAAGCGGCUGGUUAGUCAUCAUAACUAUUGGAUAAGCUUGGAAAUACGGCAUGAGUUUUCGGACAGCCAUCACUAGCGCUAACACCCACUUCUCCAUUCCUGAAUACCUUGUCUCCGCACCAAGCAGUGCUUUGCUGGUGUACUAUAUGGGGUACUGAAUCCUUGCCUCCUCCCUCACUAUAAUUGCGCUCGUGUCAUCGACAAUAACGUUGCCUUGAGCAAAUAUUGUUUUACGUGAUGAAAUGCCUCUUCACACUCCAUCGUCCACUUCAUCUUCUUGCCUUUUCUCAUUACUUUGAAGAAAACAUGGCAUUUGUCAGUUGCUCGCAAUAUAAAUUAGUUUAACGCCGCCAACUUUCCCGUAAGACUCUGCAUGUCCUUGAUUGUGCAAUGAGACUUCAUUUCAAUCACAACGCGUAUCUUCUCGGGGUUAGCUUCAAUUCCUCUAUGGCUUACCAUAAACCCCAAGAACUUUCUCGACGAGACCCCAAACACGCACUUUUCUGGGUUAAGUUUCAUUUUAUACCUCUUCAAGAGCUCAAAAGUUUCUUCUAGAUGCCUCGGAUGCUCUACUUGAUUCCUAGACUUGGUGAUCAUAUCAUCUACAUAAACCUCCAUUGUUUUCCCAAUUAGUGGCUUGAAAAUUUUGUUAACCAACCUCUGGUAUGUUGCGCCCACGUUCUUAAGGCCGAAUGACAUCACCUUGUAAUAGUUUAGGCCAACAUUAGUUAUGAACGUAGUAUGCUCUUCAUCUUGCUCUAACAUCAGUAUUUGAUUGUUAUGACUUUAUGAACGUAGAAUAUUUGAUGUCCGGGAAUAGAAAGUCUCUAGGGAUGUCCAUGUUCAUAAUCUCCUCAGGGAGAGUUGACUCACUAUCCAACAUAAUUCUCCAAACUAGUUUCUUUAGUCGUCCCUAAAGCUCGUCAAUCACCUGAGCCAAACGACGUAGCUCCAUUUUCUAACACCAUCACACGAUCUGGAUUCUGAAGUACUACUUGAUCACGCUCCCUUUCAGGGAUGUCGGAUUUUUCCGGCGUUAACCCUUCGACGCUCAAGUCAGUGAUUUUGUGUGAUUUUCUUUAUGGGAAAGAUGAGAUAUUGUUCAGAAGGUCCAACCCCUUUUUCUGGAUCUUUUUCCCGCUUUUAUAGACGACUGCGAGCUUCGUUUAUUGUGGUCGUUAUCUAAUUAAAUGCAUUGAUUGUGUCAUUUAAGUGUGUGAGUUAAUAUAUUUGUUCACGUAGUUAUUGGUCAGUCGUUGUAAUGCCUGAUCAUGCUUUAAACACGCUUGGACGUUAAAGACCAAUUCCUAAAAAGAACUCCUUGUCUUAGCUUAUGAAAAUCAUGUGACCAGCUCAUGGUCUGCUCGAGUCAUGCUGGCCAUGUUUGCUACAUCCGACCAUGUAAGUGUUUGAUACAUGUGACCAGAUAACGAAACUUUCCUCAACUUGGCUAAAUCUUAAUACCCCAAACAUUACCAAUCUCUAUAUAACUUAUGAUAAUAUAUAGUGGUAGUUUAUUAUUAUUUUUAUCUUUAUUUUUUUAUUUUCUUAAAAUUAAAAUUAUUUAUCUUCAUAAUUUUUUACAAAUAUUCUUCAUAUAAAAACAUAAUAAACUAUAAUAAAUUUGAUUAACAUAUAACAAUAUAGAAUUGUAUCCAAUUGAAUAUGAUUUAUAUUAUGAUAAUAUAUUAUCUUAUUUAUGCUCUGUGAGGUGCUUAUUAUUUGUUUAACAUUUACAAUUUGUAAGGGCCCAAAUGUAAAAAUUCUAGUUUUUAGAUUUUUUUAAGUUAAAGAAUAAAUAACUUAAUAUUUAUUUUUAACGAUUCAGACACAAAAAAAAAAAAAGAAAACAUAUCAUUUAUGUUUAGACAUUUAGCUCUAUUAAGAAUUCAAAUUAAUUCAGAUCUAUUUAGAUUUCAAAAAAAAAAAAAAAACAAACGAUGUCUUAAUGCAAGGUUUUGCUGUUUUUCUAGCAUGCAUGCUUUGCAUUGUUCUUGUUUUCGAUCAAUAUCCUUUUUAAGGGGUAAUGCUCAUCACAUCCUCUCCUAACUACAUUUAAUAAAAUUUUCAGAUCAACAAAUUUUUCUCAUAUUGUCAAGGCUCAUUAAAAAAAAGGAGAAAUUUUAAUAGGGACAAAUACACAACAGGACGUUUUGGUUUGAAAAUUUAAGGGCCGACUGGGUAAUUAGUUUAAAUCUUAGUGACUAAAAGAAUAAUGAAUUAUAGAUUAGGAUUGAGUACUGAGCUAAUUUUUUCUAAACAUUUAAUCAAUGGCUAAGUUUUUUUUCUUUUUAUAUGAUGAAGAAACUUAUUAUUACCCAUGGGAUGUGAUAUCUUUGUUGUCUGAGUAACCAAAAUUGAAGAGCAACUGUGUGUAGACCGUUGCCAUCAUAUGCAUCACAUUCAUCAGCAGAGAGAUUUUCUGAUUCAUCUUCUAUCUCUCUCUCAAAAUGGUAAGCCACUCCUAAGCGUUGGACGACAUCAAUCAAGUUCAAUUUUUGGAAAGUCUAAUCGGUUGACGAGAUUAACAUGUUCCUUAUCUUUUGUUGAAGUCCGUUAAACUCAUCUAGAUCAGUUGUUGCAUCCAUUGCCUGUUUACACAAGAGAAUUAAUUGCAUGGGUUUAUUGAGAAAGUGCAAGUUAGAUACCUUUGUUACGGAAGAUACUGCAAGAAAGUACUAGACGAUGUAAGUUAAUAAUUACCACGGAGUCAUUUGAAGAAUACUCUUGAGGAACUUUUUUCCUCAGAGUGUAGGAUGAUGACUAGCUCUGGGACGCACUAUAAGAAAUAGCUGUAUUACCGACCAGACAUUUUCGAGCGUGCAGUAUAUCCUUGAAAAUAAGUACUUUUUAUAAAGGCAUUGACAAACUGUCAGAUAAAUUUGAAAAAUUUAUAUAUUUUUUUAAGGUAAAUUUGCCUUAGUGAUGAAGGAACUUUUUUUUUUGUUGAAAAUGCAAUGUGGAGCUCAAAAUUACUCUUAAAAUUGGUAAAGUUAGAUUUAACGCCACGCUUAAAAAAUCCCAUCGUAGAAGUCACAUGUGACUAACUCACAAACGCACGAUACGUAACAAAAUAAAAAGAUAAAUUUAAGCUAUAAAAAUAAUUUAAAAAACCAAAAAUGAAUGUUUCCAUGUCAGCCUCGUCCAAUUCACCCUUGCCGACAACGAUCGUCGAGUUUUUUUUAAUCUCCGGCAGAAAUCAUGAAGCUAUCUUUUCAUCGGCAAUAAUCAUCGAGCUUUCUUCUCGCCUCACAAUUCGAGAAGCUAGCUCUCGCCAGCUACGAUCGUCAAGCUCCCUCGCCCACAACAAUCUCUAUCCGGUCGUUUCUAUUCCAUUGCUUUCAAUUAUUUUCAACUUAAAUGUAUGAUGAAGUUAUAUCCAUUUGUUGUUUUGAACGAGUAAAGAGAAACCUACAAUUAUUUGACUUUUCGAUUUUGAGAUCGGAUGGUUCACAUUGUUCACUUGAAUCGUCCACUGUUAAAUGUAAGCACCAGUCUCUCUCUUAACUUUACCUUCGUCUUUGUGUUAUUUUAUUUAGUUCUAACUAUGUUAUAACAGUGGAACCAUACCAUACUUUUUGUCUUUAUUCAACAAAACCGUUAGAUACUUUCUCGUUCAAUUUAACGGCUGAAAUUAAUUAUUGAAUAAUUGAUACAGCAACUUACAACCGUUACAGCCGACCCUUCCUAAAGUUUCUUAGCAAUAAUUGCAUUAAUUAAACGAGAUUUAAACACGAUAGCAAACCAUAUAGGAUGUCUUCAAACAACAGUGAAUACAAGCAACUCUCUGAAAUUCAUCAACUGAGCAAAUUCAAGAAGAAGGCACGCCAAUCUUAAUUCGAAUAAGAUUUCCACCAUAUAACAGUUUCUUAGAAAAUUAAGACAAAAUUGUAUCUUGCUCACAUGAAUGGAAUUUAAGUGAGAUUUAACAAUAAUCACCCUCAGAAAUUUACUGAAGUAAAUAAUACUUGCAGAAAACUAAUCUACAGCAACUAAGUGAUGCUUCAAUGUGUUAAUCCACCUGCAGAUAAAACCAAUAAAUCAUAAUGGAUUAGGAUUAUCAGCUUAGAGGUCAGUCAGAUAAAAAUAGUUCCCAGCUAACCAAUAAUAGCCAUUUCUUUGAUUCAGCUAAGUAAUUUGAUUAUACUCACAAUCAAGCCCCAAGAAAAAAAAAAUGAAAAAUCGUCAUUUUUGCAUUCCAAUAAAUCAAAAUUCCACUAAGAACAAGAAGAAAAAGAAAAAAAAAUUUAAAAAUACCCAGACAAUCAAACAACUCAAUCAAGGGGUUAGAUAACAACUCAAUCAAUGUACUGAGGUGCACUUUAUAGGUCCAUAUCACUGGCGAUGGGGGGACGUCAGGGAUAGGGAUCAAGUUGUUUUCUUUUUCAAUCUGUAAAUAAAUGAUUGCCCUCUUUUUUCUCUUUUUUAACAAAUUAAAAAGGCAUAAUACAAAGCAUUUAAAAAAAUAAUUUUUUUUUUAAGUUUUGCAAAAAAAGAACUUCUAAUCCAAUCCUCGAAUGAAACAUUUCAACAGAUUUAUGCAAUUUUUAUCUUGGUAAAAUUGAUAAAUGUAUAAUGCAUGUCAAAGAGAAAAAACACACAAUCCCAUAAAAAAUGAACUAGCAAAUAAAGUAGAUACCUCAAUGAAAAGCGGUUAAAUGUUGAAACAUAAAUAUUAUGCCAUUUUUUCAAUUUAUACUUCAAUGAUCAAAUUAACAAACUCUAUGUAGCUAACUAGCCAUGUGCAGUACACAGCCGUCGUUGGUAUUUGCUGGUUGAAAGGAAAAAGAUGGCACCUAAACAAAGUAUCAGCCACCUAAAACAAGUAAACAUGUAUAUAAAACUUCAUAUUUCUUUCUUUUUUAUGCAUAUUAAAAAUGUAUUACAGUGUGGAUGAUUACCUUAGUGCUCAAACCACUUUAAUGAAUUCAAUUCCAACUUAUCUUCAGCAUCAUUUCACCUUCAUAGCCAAUCCAUUUUCGACAACAAACCAUGCUGCAAAUCCGCUACAAAGUGACUCACAAAUCUCAAAGCUACAUGAGAACAAGCAAAUGAGUUUUCUCAGAUUUUAUUCAAAUUGACAAACAUGGCAUAAUAUGUCAAUAUUCUUGCAAUGCCUACAAAUAACCCAGUUUUAUAAUACCAAAAACAACUUCAUUGAUCUACAAAUAAAUAAAAUAAACUAAACUUUUCAUUGAGACAAAUCCUAAUUAAAAAUAUUUAUAAAUUCAUCACAAGAAAAUAAAAUUCACAAGCACCCAAAUAACCAAAAUAAUUUAAGAUUUAAGAAAAGAAUACUAAACCUUCCAUGCCUAACCAAUCUCUGAGAAUUACACUCUCUCUUUCACAAAAUUUUCUUCUGUUCGUUCAAUAAUUGAAACCCAUUAAACCCAAAUGCAAAAGUGAUAAAUGAGAGCGCCGGUGGAGCUUGGUUUUUUCAUGUUCGACACGACGGCCGAGAAGGGGAAGCUCCCUUGGCGACUUCGAGGUGGCGAUGAGCACAGACACAAUCACUAUGGGUUUACAUCUAUACAAUCCUUAUGCAACAGACAACCGUGCAUUUUCACAGAGCUAAGCUGAGUAACUGACGGUGAGUUUUGUUACAAGUAAUUUUACCUUUUCUUGACUGAUUUUCCGGUUUGCUUUAACAGAAAUGUGGCCAUCUCUUCGGUGUUGGAUUACUUGCUUUAAAAUCUAAUGGUUACAUUAAAUAUAUAGACAAAAACUGUGGUACCAACGUAGGUGAGUCCUUUUAUUUUUUUAGCUAUUUUGGAUUAGGGUAUGGUGUCUAUGUUGCUAGUGAUUGACUGAGUGAAUUAAUUAUGUUACAUAGUUGUUAAAUAGGAUUUAAUCUGAAAAUUUGACAAACUUUUAUAUAUUACUAGUGAUUGAUUGAGUGAAUUAUGUACGUUUAUAUAUUUGUUAAAGUCGAUGUAAUGUAUUCUUCUACUUUCUUUUGCUUCUGCUUGUUUAACAGUUAGGUGUUUGUUGAAAACCCUCAAUGAACUAAGAAAAGUAUAUAGUUCUUUGUUUAAAGUUGGAAAACCUGGUACUAGGUACAUGCAAAAGAAACGUGCACUUUAUAUGUGCUAAUUUCUAUAACUUUUAUGGAGAGAUUAAACAAAUUUGUCUCAACUGGUACUAUUGUACAUCUUAUAUGGUCAAGUUUGUAGCAGUAAGUUAGAACACGUAAGUCAUGUUGUUAUAAUUUUUUGAACCAUCACAAAGGCCUAGAAUUUUUUUGUUGUACAACAAAUUUGCUGGCUGUCCGCUGCCUAGAUAAGGUAGAUCUAACAAAAGUUUCUUAUCAUUUUGGUCAUGCAAUAAUGUUAGAUGGUGUGAAUUAUGCCUUGCAGUGCUGGAAAUUACCAUGCAGCUUCUUGAGGUAUUUUCCUAUUGCAAUCUUAAUUUUUUAAUAUUUGAUGUUUUUGGUGAAUGGUGACUUAACAAGGAUAUUGUGAUUCAGUUAAUACCACUGGGCAUAAUGAAAUGUUAAUGUAACUAUUCCUAGUUCAUUAUGCUGAGGUAACUUCUCUUACUUUACUGAAUCUUCACUUUAUUUUUCCAACUUCUAGAAAAUACUUGUGAUCUGAACACAGAUACUUAGUUGCUGCUCCUGUUCAACUCAGGCUCCGUUUGGAAUAGCUUUUCAAGUAGAGCUUUUGACAGUAAAGCUUUUAUAAAUAAAGUUUUUAUCUAAAAUAUUUUAGUUGUUUGACUGUCAAUGAAAGCUUUUAUUAAAAAAUUAUGAAAUUACUUUAAUAGACAAGUUUUUUUAAAUUAUGUUAUGAAAAUAAUAAAAUAAAAUUGUCAAAUAAGUAGAGGAUAUUUUAGCUAUUUUAAAAUAACAUUUUAAAAAAACUUUUCAACCUCUACUCCCAAAAGCCCAGAAUUUGAACUUUUGCUAGUAGAGGCAAAAUAGCUUGUUUUCCCUAUAUAUUUAUAUAAAAAAAACCUUAUUUAAGCUCUAAAAGAUCUAUAAAAAAAAAAAAAAAACCAAACAACAAUAAAGUUUAUUAUAUGAGCUUAUGGAAUUAAAUAAGUACUUAUACCCAUUAGAUAGGUUAUACCAAAUAGGCACUCAAUGCUAGCAAGUGCUUAUCAUGCCUAAACUUAAGUAUUUUCUUUUCAACAACCAUCCUAGUUUCUUGCUUGAUAUGUGUGAGCUAAUUUUUUUUUUUUAAUGCCACAAUAAUCUAGUGAUAACUAUUAAAAAAAACUAUAUUACCAUGACGAGCUCAUGGCUUAGACAUAGCAAUUUACAUUCAAUUCCUUUGUAUGAACUUCUUUAUUAUUUAAUGGGAUUUUUAGUCCUAAUAAUAUUCUUCAAUGGUAUUUUAGGAGUUAAGAAAAAUGUUUCAGAUAAUGAAGAAGACAUUGGAAAAUAUUCAAGUUUUGAGAUCAUUUAAUUUGUGUAUACAUUUGGGAUACUUUUAUGUUAGAGAUACCAUCAAAUUGAUUUUUAUGAAUUUUUGAUUGAUUUUUAUGAAGCUACUUUUAAUGCAUUGUGUAUUAUUAAUUUGUUGGUUAUCUUAUAUUCAUAAUAUAGAAACUUCAAAAAUUAAAUUUAGAUUUUAUUGUUUUUGUGGAAAAUGAAAAGAAAAAAGUGCAUGAAAUAAUAUUAUUGAAUAAAUAAAGGAGAACACUAAAAAAAAUGGAUGCACAUUUUCGACUGCCUAUUUAGUAUUUCCAAGGACAAAAAGUAGUUGGAAAUGUAUAAUUAUUUGAUUUCCAAGGGAUUAUUUUCGAGGGCAGUUAAUGACAUUUUCGACAGCAAUACUGUCGAAAAAAAAAUUUCUCUAAAAACUCAUUAGAAAUUGUGUUUUUUCGAUGUGACUUAAUACGAUGAUGAUCAACAGUAUGAUUCUCUCAUAAAUGAUUUUUUCCGAGGGUAUGUGUGCAUUUCCGAGGGCAAAUACCUUAAAAAAUAUCAUUUUUUGUUGUAGUGACGGUUGAAGCCUGCUGCAUUAUGAAUUGAUGAAACAUGAGCUUCAAAAUCUUGAAAGCCAUUUUCUUGUUAAUUAGGGCUGGCAAGCUAGUUUAUGAUAUAAUUCCUUUAACCUUAACUUGCUUCAACGACUUAUAUGAGUUUUUGUAUCUACAACAUAUUUUCUGAUCCUUGGAACUAUAUAAGAAAUUAGUUUUUAACAUAUAGGUGGGACAUCAAGAUCUUACCAAGGAAAACGUUAUAAUAAUCAAUCAAUGUUGUGAUUAUAUUUAUUAUUUUUAUUUCAAUAAGUUUAUCAUCAUCAUCAUCUUUGGGUGUAACAUGAAAUAAUCAAAAGUUUAACCACUUCAUCUUAAACAAUGUAACCUUUCAGCUUUUUGAGAUGUGCUAAUUCUUUUUUCUUCAAAAUCUAAUCUCUCAGACUAAUUAAUUAUCUACCUUGCUCUCUCUUUUUUUUUUUCCCUUCUCUUUCAUUUCCGCUCCCUCCCCCCGCCCCCUUCAUUCUCAAAUUAGACUUUUCAAUUUAUAGCAAUCUCUGUGUGUUUGACCUCAUUAUCACUAUUCUAUUUUUAGAUUCGUGCGCUUGCGAGUAUAUUAAAAUUUUUGGCACCGUUCCUAGGGAUUGUGCCAAAGUCAAUUUAACCUAGGUUAAUUUGAUUCUUCCACUUGUUAUAAUUAAGGUUGUCUUUUAGUUUUUUAUAAAGAAAAACAAAAAAAAUUAGAAUUAGACUUUAAAUUCAUUGUUUGGUUGUUUGAUUUCUUUUCUUUUAAGUUUCGUUUAUUUUCAUAAUUGUUGGUUUAUUUUUCUUUGUUUGUCUAGUUAGUUUACGAGUGUUUGGGAUCGUGAUUCGACAAAUCAUUUAGUAAAAAAAAGAGUCUAAAUUUGAUAGUAAUCAAGCUAGUUCUUCUCAAGUGAUGGAUGACCUAAAUAGAAUAUUGUCAAUACUACCACUAGUGCAAGCAGAGAAAACCCUUAGAAAAUAUUUUUCACCACUUAUAGUCAACCAACCAUCUUGUAUUGUGUUGCCACAAACUACAGAAACACACUUUGAACUUAAGCACUCUGUCAUUUAGCUUUUACCAUCUUUCCAUGGGUUAGAGAGAGAGGAUCCAUAUUUGCACAUUAAGGAAUUUCUUGACAUAUGCUCUACAUUUCGUUUUCAAAAUUUUAAUGAUGAGUCAAUUAGUUUUUGUAUGAUCCCUUUCUCAUUAAAAGAUAAAGUGAAAGCUUGGUUGAAUUCACUUUUUGUUGGGUCUAUUACUACGAGGGAUGAAUUGAGUGAUAAGUUGCUCACCAAGUUUUUCCCUAUGUUUAAAACAAAUGCCCUUAGGAGAGAGAUAUGCGAUUUUUAUCAAAGAGAGGGCGAGCAAUUUUAUGAGUGUUGGGAAAAGAUUCAAUGAUUUACUCCUCAAGUGUCCCUACCGUGGUUUUAAGAAAUGGAGACUUAUAUAAUACUUUUAUAAUGGUUUAACUUAUGGUAGAGUUUGAAUGGUGGGAGAUUUUUGAACUUACAUGAAGGGGUUGCAUGAGAUUUCUUUAAUUCACUUUAUGAGGAUUCUCAAUAGUGGGAUUUUUUAAAUCAAAGAGAAAAAUUAUUUUAAGUUUCUAGAAAGAAUCUAUAUAAAGUUAAGGAUGAUUUUGAUGUGAAAGCUAUUCUAGCUACACUUUCUAGGAAAGUAGAUGCUUUAAUUCUGAACCAAUCAAUGAAUCAUCACCCUAGUGUAGCUAAUGAGAGUUGUGCUCUUUGUUCCAACCUAUCUCAUACAGCACAAAAUUAUCCUUUAUUUCUAGCCUAUCAAGAGGCUUAUUUUGAGCAGGUACAUGUCUUACAAUCAUAUGAGAAAACCUUCAAUAGUCUAUAUUCAACCCACAUAUAAUCUUAAUUGGAAGAAUCACCCUAAUUUUUUUUUAAAAACAAAAUCAGCUAUUAUCAAACAAAGGAGGGCAACAAUUUAGCAUGCUCAAUUAACAAUUUGUCCCUUUUAACCAAGUAUAUCUCCCUGCCUAACAGCACAUGUCCCAAUUUGUUGCGCCCUAACAAAGAAAAUCUUCUUUAGAGGGUACACUUCAAGUUUCAUUCAGUUUAUCUAACAAGCCUUUCAAUUAAACACUCAAGCUAUUCUAAAGCUUGAACAUCAAUUGGGUCAAUUAGCAACUACUGUAUCUGGGAGAGAAAAAGGAAAUUUCCCAAGUCAUCCAAUCCCCUAAUCCCAAAGGAGUAUAUGAAGUUGGAUAAAGUUUAAGCCAUCAGCAUGAAGAGGAAAAAUCUAUUAUGACCUUGAGAAUAGGAAAGUUAUUUGACAACAAGGUGGAGGUUCUAACAACAAAGACAUCUGAAUCUGCUUUUUCAAAUCUAGUUCCAUCACAAGACUCAUCACCUAAUGAUCUAGAAGAAAGUGGCCUAGCCGCUUACAUUCCUCAGGCUCCUUUUCCCUCAAAGGUUAGCAAAGGUAAAGGAAGAGACUUCAACAUGUGAGAUUAUAGAAAUCUUCAAGCAGGUAAGUAUAAACAUCCUUUUACUUGAUGCUAUUAAGCAAGUUCCCUCUUAUGCCAAGUUUUUAAAGGAUUUAUGCACUAAAAAGAGAAACUUACAUGUCACCAAAAAAACAUUUUUAAUUGAACAAACUAGUAAUUUACUUCAAUGUAAAAUACCACCAAAAUUUAAAAAUCCAAGUUCCUUUACUAUCUCAUGUGUUGUAGGGAACUAAUUGUUUAAUAAAGCAUUAUUAGAUUCAGGAGCUAGUUUUAAUCUUUUGCCUUAUUCUAUUUACAUGCAACUUGAACUAGGUGAAUUAAAGUCAACUUCUAUUAUUUUGCAAGUUGCUGAUAGGUCAAUGAAAGUAACUUGUGGUAUUGUAGAGAAUGUGUUGAUACAAAUUGAUAAAUUUUAUUGUUCUGUUGAUUUUAUUAUUAUUGAUACUCAGCCUCUACAGGAUCCUAAGAAACACACCCUAGUUAUUCUAGGUUGUCCUUUCUUAGCUACAGUUGAUGCUCUUAUUAAUUGUAUGAAUGGAAACAUGUAGCUAUCUUUUAGUAAUAUGACCAUGGAAUUAACUAUUUUUAAUGUAACCAAGCAGCCACAAAAAGAAGAUGAAUUUGUUGAAAUGGAUGUGAUAGAAGAAUUAAUAAAAGAUUCAUUCAUUUAUAAGCACAAUGAUGAUCCAUUAGAGGCAUGUUUGACUUAUUCUUAUUUAUCUUCUAAUGAUGACAGUGUAAUUGCAGAAGUCAACGCCUUACUUGAUGGAAGUCCAAUAUGGACACAACUAAAUGAAAUAUAAAGUCAGAACCACUGCCUCAUUCUGAGAAGAAGAUUAGCCCAUCUGCAGAGACACAACAAAAAUUGGAGCUCAAAGCACUGCCUGACACUCUAGAAUAUGUAUUCUUAGGAGAAUUUGACACAUUGUUAUUAUUUCUUCUUCCCUCGAUCUUGAGUAAAAAGGUAAGUUGUUGGGUAUUCAGAAAGAUCAUAAGGAGGCAAUAAGAUGGACUAUUGCUGAUAUUAAAGGUAUAGUGGAUUGCAUGCAUCAUAUUCAUCUUGAAGAUAAUGCUAAGCCUAUUAGGGAGAUGCAACGUAUGCUAAAUCCUAACAUGAAAGAAGUGGUAAGAGUUGAAAUAAUUAAAUUAUUAGAUGCAGGAAUUAUUUAUCCUAUUUCAGAUAGCUCUUGGGUUAGCUCUGUGCAAGUUGUUCCUAAGAAAUAUGAUGUUACAGAAGUUACUAUUGUUAAUAAUGAAUUAAUUCCCACUAGAGUAACUACAGGUUGGCGUGUUUGCAUUGAUUAUAGAAAAUUGAAUUCAGUCACAAGAAAAUAUCAUUUUCCUCUUCUAUUUAUUGUUCAAAUGCUUGAUAGACUUGCAGGUCAUGACUUUUAUUAUUUUCUAGAUAGAUAUGUAGGUUAUAACUAGAUCCCUAUAGCUUCAGAGGACCAAGAGAAAAUGAAUUUUACUAGCCCUUUUGGAAGUUUUGCAUAUAGGAGAAUGUCAUUUGGUUUAUGCAAUGCACCUGCUACCUUUCAAAGAUGCAUGCUUAGUAUUUUUUCUGAUAUAGUUGAAAGAUUUUUCUAUUUAUGAAGAUUCGUUUGAUGAAUUUUUGCAUCAUCUAACAUUAGUUUUGCAGAGAUGUAAGGAAAAGAAUUUGGUUCUCAAUUGGAAAAAAUAUCAUUUUAUGGUAAAAUAAGGUAUUUUUCUUGGUCAUAUAAUUUCCAGCAAAGGUAUAAAAGUUGACAAAGCCAAGGUAGAUUUAAUUGCUAAUCUUCCACCUCCCAAAUCCAUAAAAAAAGUAAGAUUUUUCCUUGGACAUGUUGGUUUUUAUAAAAGAUUCAUUAAAGAUUUUAGUAAAAUUUCUAGACACUUAUAUAAUUUAUUUGUUAAAGAUGCACCUUUUAUCUUUGAUGAUUCUUGUCUCGAUGCUUUUGAAAAGUUUAAGAAAUUGUUGACUUCUUCACCUAUCAUUCAGCCACCUAAUUGGGGUUCGCCUUUUGAAAUUAUAUGUGAUGCAUCUGAUUAUACUGUAGGAGCAGUUUUAGGACAAGAUUAGAUCGUUUGCCUUAUGUCAUUUAUUAUGCUAGUACGAUACUCAAUGAUGCACAGUUGGAUUAUUAAACUACAGAAAAAGAAAUACUAGUUGUGGUGUUCGCACUAGAUAAAUUCAGAUCUUAUCUUAUAAGUUGUAAAGUGAUUAUUUUUACUGAUCGUGGUGCUUUGAAAUAUUUGGUCGCUAAGAAAGAUGCUAAGGCAAGAUUGAUCCGUUGCGUGUUACUUUUACACAAAUUUGACAUUGAAUUUAGAGAUAAAAAAUGUUCUAAAAAUGUUGUGGCAGAUCAUUUGUCUCGCCUUGAUCUUAAAUUUAUUAUAGAAUCAUUACCUUUAAAUGAGUCUUUCUCAGAUGCGCAACUUAUGAGUGUAAAUGUUUUGUCAUGGUUUGCUGAUAUAGUUAAUUAUUUUGUUACAUGUCAAAUCCUAGAACACUGGACCAAGCAAGAUAGAACAAAGUUCUUAUUCGAAGUGAAGAAUUUCUUUUGGGAUGAUCCCUACUUAUUCAAAUAUUGUGCUGAUCAUAUUAUUAGGAGAUGUGAUCCAGAGAAUGAAAUUUAAAGUGUCAUCUCUUUUUGUCAUGAACAAGCUUGUGGAGGCCAUUUUAUCACUAAAAAGACAACAUUAAAAAUUUUAAAGUGUGGUUUUUAUUAGCCUACUCUUUUUCAUGAUGCUUAGUUUUCUGUUCUUUGUGUGAUAGGUAUCAACACAUGGGUAGCGUUUCAAAGAGGAAUAUGAUGUCACUUAAUCCUAUUCUUGUGGUUAAGAUCUUCGAUGUAUGGGGUAUUGAUUUUAUAGGACAUUUUCCUCUAUCUUUUGGUUAUCAGUAUAUAUUAGUUGCAGUUGAUUAUGUGUCAAAGUGGGUUGAAGCUAUUCCAUGUAGAACCAAUUAUCAUAGGGUCAUAGUGAAAUUCGUGAAUAGUAAUAUCCUAUCUCAUUUUGGUUUCCCUAGAUCUAUAAUCAGUGAUAAUGGUACCCAUUUUUGAAAUAAACCUUUCAAAAUUCUUUCGGACAAAUAUUCCAUUACACAUAAGGUUGCUAUCCCAUACCAUGCUCAAACCAGUGGUCAAGUAGAGAUUUCUAAUCGAGAGAUCAAGCAAAUUCUAGUAAAGACAGUUGGGCUAGAUAGAAAUGAUUGGUCUUUGAGACUUGAUAAUGCAUUAUGGGCAUAUAGAAUAACUUUUAAAACACCAAUUAAGAUGUCACCUUUAUAGACUUGUGUAUGGAAAAACAUCCCAUAUACCAGUAGAGCUAGAGCAUUGUGCAAAUUGAGCUAUCAAGAAAUUCAAUUUUGACAUGCAGCAGGCUGGUUCUAAGGGAAGAUUACAACUAGUAGAACUUGAAGAGAUAAGGAAAAUUGCUUAUGAAAAUGCUAAGAUUUACAAGUAACGAAUGAAAGUCUUUCAUGCCAAGCACAUUUUUAGAAAAUCCUUUAUACCACGUCAGAAAGUACUUUUAUAUAAUUCCUAAUUACAUCUCUUUCCUAGUAAGUUUCAUUCUAGAUGGUCUGAUCCUUUUAUAGUUCAUACCAUCUACCCUUGUGGAGCAGUUGAGAUUGAAAAUUGAUUAGUAUUAAAAAUUGUUUAAUUAUCAAGCGAUAAUAUGUUAUUUUAUGCUUAUGUUAUAAUUUAUAUUUGUGUUUAUGUAAUAUAUUAUGAAUUAUUAAUUAUGUUUUCAAUAUAUUUAAUUUUGUGUAUUUUUAUGUGUUUAUUAGGAAAAAUAUUAAUUUCACAUAUUUCGAGGCUCCAAACAAAUAAACGGAGGUCCAAUUUGGAUUCUGGAGGUCCGAAAACCUUAAGAUCAGUCAAGAUGGGCUUAAAAUUGGGCUUGUGUAAAAAAAGUUGACUUUUCCUGUUGACCGAGCACUGAUUGGAUGAUGAAAUGAGCUUACAAUAGAUAUGAGUGCAUGGGAUAGCUGGCAAUCUUGACUAAAUCUCAACCGUUCAUGAUUCAAUGGCCAUGAUUGUGCCACGUGGCAAUGGUUGGUGAAGCAAGUUGGAGGAUCCGAAUAUUUGUAUUCGGGUCGACCCGAUCCACCCAUUAACCCGCUAAAUCUCAACCGUUCUUUGGGCAAAUCGGACGAGUCAAACGAUGCCACGUGUGAUGUUGACUUUUGAUGUUUGACCAGCCAUUGGAUCUUGAUCUAAAGGUUGUGAGGAGAACAUGCAUGAAGCCUAUGAUGGACCGCAAAGCACUGGAUUAUGAAUUUAUUUUUCUAUAAAUAGAGCCUCAUUUUUAUGUUUUAAUCAUCUCUCUACAACUCUCUUCUUCUCAAAUUCUCUCCAUCUCCUUGUAAUCUUGAUUUUCAGGUGUGUUUUUAAUAUUUUGUAUAAUUAUUUUUAUAAAUAAAAUUAGUUUUAUUUCCAAUUUUAUUUGUUUUUAUUUCUUUUAAUUAUAAGUAAUUCAAUUUUACUACUUCUUUUUAUUUUAAUUAUGCUUAACUAAAUAAUAUUAGUUAGGGGAAGGUGAAACUCUUAGGAAAUAAAUAUGAUUUAAGCAAAUUCUAUUUUUAAUUUUAUAAAUUAAAUUAUUUUCUAUUUAAUUUUAUACAUAUUUUAUAUUUUGAAAUUUUGAUUUAUUGUAGACAAACAAAUGAAUUUGACACAAUAAAUUCUUAAUAUCUUAAUAUAAGGUAUGGUAAAAUGAUUAUUUGACUUAUUGUAGACAAAUUAAAUUUUGGCACAAUAAAUACUUAAUCCAUCAUAAAAUUAAAGGGAAAAUAAUAAUAAUUUAUAUAAUUAAUCUUUUGGGCAAUAAAUGUAAAAAAAGGGCAAAAAAGAAUUUAUUAAGUUUUAUUUAAUUCUAAGAGUGGAUCCAUAACCCUAACUAGUUCAAUUUCAUAGUUUCAUUUAAAUUAAGUUGUUUAUAUUUAAGUUUUAAUUUUAAUUUUAAUUUUAAGUUAAAAUAAAGUAAACUAAUUAAAUCUUUUAUCUGUGGAUCGACCUCGGACUCACCGAGUUAUAAUACAACAAGACACUCUUAUACUUGGGAGUUAAAAAUUACUUUUAAGUUGUGUCAAAAAUCCUAAAAAAUUAUGAGUUAUUUAAAGUCAAUGGUCAAAGAUUAAAACCAUUUUUAGAGUUAAGAACACCAGAAGUUGAGGAGAUACUUUUAGAUGAUCGUGUUUACUAGGAUUCAUUAGUUCCAUUUUUAAAUUCUUGAUUUAUUUAAAUAGUAGGCUUUCUUUUCAUUAUUUGUUUUUCUUUUCUAGUAUUUUUCUUUUCUAAUAUUUUUUUUUAUUUGUCAUUUUCUUUUAAGCUUUUCCAGCCCAUUCAAGUGUGAUCUCUCCAACUUUUUCUUUUAUUAUUUAUAUUUUUUUCUUUUUCAUCUUUUUGCAUGCAUAUCUUUUAUUUAUGAAACAUUGAGGACAAUGUUUCAAAUAAAUUUGGGGGUGGGAAUAAUGUGUGCUUUAUUUGUUAUAAAAAAACCAAAAAAAUUUAAAAAAUUCAAAAAAAAUGUUUUUUUUAAUGUAAAAAGUCAAUGACAAGAACUUGAUUGACAAUGAAUAUGGUUUAUAGAAAUGAUUGAAUAUUGUCUUAGUUUAUAUUUGGUUCUUGUGUUAAUUAAUCUUGAAUGAGAUUCUUUAGACACUAUGAGCACUAAUAUUCUUUAAUAAUUUUGACUUGAAAUCUGAGAUUGACGCAGCUUGAGUUGAGAAUUUUAGAUAGAGUAAAUGACUGUUUAUCUCGAUUCUUAUCUUCACAAUACAAAAUAAUAUACACAGGUGCCAAAGUUAGAAAUAACUACCUAUAACCCUUAAGAGUGAAGCUAUCCUUGAGAAAUUUGGGCCUAUGUACCAUCAGUAUGUAGAGGAUAAUCCACCAUGAGAAGAAAGCUACCUUAAGGGUUAGAGUGACAGCUCCUGCUAUGGUUAUUAAAAAAAGAGAAAAAAAGGAAAAAAAAGAAAAGAAAUAAAGUGCAUGUGUUGAAAUGAAAAAAAAAAAGAAGAAGAAAAUGCACAUAAAAGCUUGUGGAAAAAAAAAUUAGAGCUCAAGAUGAUAAGAUUAGUUUGACCUACUCUUUUCUUUGUUCAAGGCGAAGGGUGUUGAUAUUGAAGAUUUUGAGAAUGAUUUUUAAUUGAAUUGAUUCACACACAUACUAUAAGAAUCAAAAGAGAGAUGAGAUUGACUGUUGAAUUAAAGUUAGAACUUUGCCAAUAUUUGAAAUUUUCUUUUAGCUAUAUAAGUUAUGCAAUCUUUGAGGUUAGUUUUAUAUUUUAUUUAAAGUCUGUUUUUCUUUUUAUGCUAUUUUAUUUUAAAAAAAUAUUUGUGGGUAUCAUCGCAAACCCUCACGAUACUAUAACUCAUCCACUAGGGCUGCCUAGGGAUUUAAAGGCUUAUUGCAUACGGUAAAUGCAAUUGCGAUCACCUGUAAAAGUGGUUAAGUUAGGAUUUACUUUUUGUUUCGUUCUUUUUAUUUUUAUUUUUAGUUUUAGUUUUGCUCGAGUACUAGCAAAAUCUAAGUUUGACGGUAUUUGAUGAGCAUAUAAUAUAUAUACAUUUUUUAUCCUUAAUUAUAUAAUUACUAGAUAUUUUUACUUUUAAUUUUUAAUUAAUUAAAUUAUUUUGUUGAAUAGGGAAUUAAUUGGAGAUUAUGGAUAAAAAGAGAAUGAAAAAGUUUAAAUUGAGAAGGAAUAAAGAUUAAAUUGAAAGAUGAAAAUACAUGCAAGAAUUAAUGGAAUCCAAGCCAAUGAAAUCAAAGCAAUUAAUUGAUCCAGCACGUGAAGACAAAAAAAGGGAUAAGCACAAGGAUUUACUUCAUGUCAUCAUUUAGGCAAGUGUUGAUUAUGCAAGCAAAGGAGUAAGGUAAGACAGCCACGUGAAGAGAAAUUAAGCAUAACAUAGGUGGCUUUAGCUUAAUUGGAGUGCACAUGAAAGUGUUUUUCAACUUCCAAAGUGGAAACAAAUCUAUGGCUUAUGGUGGCAUUAAUUUGGAAGAUUUAUUUUAAAAUUGGAAAAGGAUUUUAAUUAGUAUUCAAAGAGGAUUCAGUGGCUAAGCAUUAUAAAAAGUAACUUUAACUUCUGAAUUAAGGGGAGACGGAAGACACGCAAGGGAGGGGCAUUCGGUAAGAGAGAAGAGGAGCGGCAGCAGCAGUAGCAGUUUGGUUUCUCCAUUGCUUAUUUUAUUUUAGUUGUUGCUCUCAAUCUAAGUAUAUUUAACUAAUUUUCUUAUACUAAGGUUAAUGAUGAAACCAUAUUCAAUGAAAUAAUUAUCUUUUUAUUUAAUUAUUUCCCUACAUAUGUUCUUUAAUGUUUAUGGUUCUUUGUCACAUGAUUGGUUGAAUGUAAUUAAAUUUUUUCACCAAUUCUGUCAUGCAUUAUUGAUUGUUAGGAUUUAUAUUUGACUAUAUCUAUGCUUGGAUCUAUAAAGUCUAUAUAUGAUUAUCUUUGAUUCUAUGUCUUUCAUUAAAUUUUUUACAUAGAGCGCUUAGGAAAAUUUUGACUCUUUGUUAUUCAAUAUGCUUACAUGGGAUGUUUAGAUAUCAUACUAUUAAGCAGAAAAAGAACUUACAUUAGAUUUAAUUAAUUAGGCUUAAUUGUUAUAUCCAUGAGAUGACAUAGAUUGAUUUCAAGUUGCCACUCUAAAAUUGGGGAUUAAUUAACAAUUAGAUAAUUACUAGUUGAAUAGUGGUGGAUUCUAAAACCUUAGUAAUUUUUGUCUUAUUGAAUUCUCCUUUGCUUUAAUUGUUUUCUUAGUUUAAUUUCUCUUAAAACUCAAUUUGCUCAAUUAGGUUAGGAUUAAUAUUAAUUUUAGAUUUAAAUUAGACUUUUCAAUUUAUAACAAUUUAUGUGAGUUCGACCUCGUUACCACUAUUCUAUUUUUAAAUUCGUGUGCUUGCGAGUAUAUUAAAAUUGUUGCACAAACCUAAGCUUCGCCUAUAAGCAAGGACAACGAGAUGCUCAAGCACAAAUUUCAUAUGAAAAAACAAGAUAUUGACAUGUUUGUUCUUUUCUGUUUUCCGGUAUGAAUGUCCUUGUUAAAGCGAGAAUUUUAAUCAAUAAAGAAAAGAAAACAUCAAUUACGAACAAAUUAGGGGACAUAAAAUAAUGGGAAAUUUAUAAAAAUGGCCACAAAACUUUUGUAUUUUUCAACUUUAACCCCCCAAAAUUUUUUCAAUCAACAUUAGCCAAAUCCCAAAAUUGAGGACCAAACUACCCUCAUCACUCUCACAUUUCUCUCAAGCCCAAUUCCUCCCCCUCUCACUAAAAUCUCAUCACCGAAAUCCCGUAUACAUCGUCGGCGGCUGAAAUAAGCUACAUCACGUUCAAAAUCUUCGGAGAUCUCCAAAAUCAAAGACUAAAAUUGAAAACCCUAGGUGAGUUAUUGAAAACCUGAAAUUGUUGUGUUUUGUUGUUGUUGUUGUUGUGUUGUGUUGGUGGCAUUGGUGAUGGAUUGAGUCUUUAGGCUGUUGUUGGUGUUUAAUAACGGUGGUGGGUGAGAUGCAUGUGGGAAAGGAAAGGCUGGCAUGCGAGCGGGAUGCGGUUGUCGAGUGCAUCUCACAUGCGACAGGUCCAUCUGAGCGCGCGGGAUGCGCAUCUCGCGUGUGAUAGGCCUAUCCGCGGGCACAGGAUGCACAAGUCGUGUGCAUCUAGUGCGCGACGUGUGCGCACCAACCUGCGCGCUAUCUCGAGCGCGACAGGCCACGCGCUUGGUGCCUGUCGUACUAUGAGGCAGCACCUCUUGCUGUGACAACAACACCUUUUUUUCUGCUUUUGUUGGUAAUUUAUUAACAUGUAAUAUUUUUAACUUGUAAUAGAUAAAUGGGCAAAUCAAAAAUAGCAUUGCAUAAUCCACCCGAACCGAGGAAAGAACCGGAAAUGAUGAAGAUACCUUAUGGCGAUCAUUUUCCCGGACGUAUCACGAGUAUGUGCAAAUUAGAUGUCAUUGUUAAUGCCAUCUAGGAAAAAUUAAUAAAGCGGCAGUUGAAACUGUUCAAAGAUGAUAUAUUUAGGUAUUUCCUCUAAUGCCGACGCUAUCCGUUCAGUGGCGUAAUUGUCCAUAAUAUAUUGCUUCGGCAAGUGUCCCAUGGCACUGGAAAUGACAAAGAUUAGUUAUGAUUUUAAGUUGGUGACCAUUUGGUACGGCUAUCGAUUGGAGAGUGGUGCCUAGUAAUGGGACUUUGCUAUGACGAAGAUGUUGUGCUGAUAAAACAUAAAACAAUGCAUAGAUUACUUAAGAAAUAUUUUGCCGGCAGGUUUCACGAGAUAAAUCUUGGCCAGUUCGAGCAAAGAUUUGUGGACUUAGACUUCAGGGCUAUGGAUGACACCAAUGCGCUAAAAAAUUGUCCUGUUUUACUUUGUUGGUAGAGUACUAAACAGGAGAAAAGAUCAUUGUCAAAUCAAUUUCAAUUUGCUUAACGAGGUAAAUGACAUAAAUCACUUUCGAAGUCAUCCGUGGGGCCGUUUGUCAUGGCAAACAAUAUAUGAAAGCCUUGAUAAUGAAAUGAACGACAAAGCCAAUAAAUUUAAGAAGGAAUGCGCACAAAAUCCCUCAUAUAAAAUUGAAAAAUACAAUAUUUAUAGCUUUACGUCUGCAGUGCAUGUGAGUGAAGAAUUUAUUUAUUUUAUAACUUAACUUUGUUAUGAUGAAUAUUUAAUGAAACGUUUUUUGACUUUAUAUCUUUCCUUGUUGAGGGCAUGAAUUUUUGAAGCGAUUGGAGAACUACCAUUACAGUGGGUGGUGAAAAUUAAGAGGAAGGGUCCUCGGAUCGUACGAUGGAAGCCCAUGGCUUCUUCAAAUAUAAACUUCGGUGAAGUCUAUUCAUACCUCAAUGAGCAUCUUGUAAGUAAUUUAUAUAUAAUUGUAUGUAUAUAACUAUUAAAUACUAGAUGAUUAUACUAAUUGAAAAUUUGGUAUGCUUUACGAUAGGAUGACAACAUUUUACAAACCAUCGAACCUGAUGAAAAGGAGAGAGUCACAAAUUAUUGGAAGAGUGUCGAGGAUUACGUGCCAUAUAUGCCAAGUUGGGUUCGUAAUGUGGGUAUCCUUUACAGCAUCAUUUAAAAGAUAAACAAAAUUGAAAUUUUUUUUUAUUUACUGUUUUUUUGUUUUACUUGGUAUAGCACCAGCCUUUAAUUAACGCGCCAUCCAUUACAGGGACAAAAGAGGUAGAUCAUGACACCACGAGCCAAACACAACUGCAGCAGAGUCCCAUUGAGGAUGACUUUGCUUUCGACGACCAUUACGAAUCCGCACACGAUUCAGAUGACACACAUGAGCCGGAGGUUACUUCCGAACUUAAAUGAUCAUUUUGUUUCAUCAAAUCUAACUAACUUUAGUGCUUUCUCAUUACUUUCUUAUUUCGUGAUAAUAGGCAAGGACAAAGUUCUGCAAUGAUUAUUUUACUCAACGGUUGGACAGAAUAGAGUGUUCCAUUCACGAACUGAGGUCGGAACUUCAGGCAUAACACAAUUCCAUUAAAGAUCUGAGGUCAUAACUUCAGGCAGAACACAGAGACGCACAAAGGUAUAAAGAAGCGGUCAUGGGGUUUAUGACUUCAUUUGGCGCGGGUUCUUCUAAGGGCGCGUACGGUGAUUCUCCGUUUGGGCGCUUGUACACGGUGAGCAAGUUUCACACGCUUCGGUUAUGUUAUUUUGCUUUCAAAAUCGAAAUUAGUUUAAUAUAUUCAUCGAAUCGAAUCGACAGGCCCUAGAUGGCUAUGGUCCGAACGCUGAUACUGGCUACGGUACGAACACUGAUGCUAGUAAUGAUGAUGAUCACACCCCUAUGUAGUUGUACAGUCUUUAUGGGGACAUAAGUGGUGACAGUGUACAGAUAUUCACGGAGGUACCUCCUGGUGUAAGUUUGGACAACCAUACAGACCGUCGUAUAUCUUUGGCAGUCCUUACUUGAUUCCUCCUUUCAAGAGUGUUAGGAUGUCAGGCGUCUACCAGCACUCAAAAUUACGGACUAUGAGUUUGAUGACAGAUCGAGUGUGGAUAUAAAUCCGUUUAGGGGACUAGAAGAUUCAAGGCUAUGUGAGGAGUUUGAUCAGUGGUUUGCCGGUAGAAUUUUCCUGGAUCGGCUCGUCCAACAGUCCCGAAAUUUCUUUGAAAUACUCGUGGGCAAUGCUUCGAUGGGGUGACUUAGUAACGAGGUAAGUGUGCUUAAUGGUCAACACAUUACAAUAUUGUUCAUCUUUUCGCUGGCCUAAAUUAUGUUCUAAAUUUACUUGGUUUAAUCCCUCCACAGCAUAUUCACACAUUUUACCUCUUGAUCAGUGAGAAGCAACGACAAUUUCCAAAUGCAUUACCGCAACGCAUCACGCGUACAGAUACAUAUUUUUGGGUAAUGAGUUUACGAACUCUAUAAUCAUUAACUAUAAUGUCGAUGCUUACAAUAUCUCAAAAUCUUAUUAAUUUCUUACUCAUCGUGCAAUAGGUGUUCCUAAAGUAAUUAUGUAACAAUGGUAGCUGUGAUGUCCAUUCAUUACAAUAUGGCAACAACUUAAACAUCUAUAUGGAUGGGCAGGAAGAUAUCAUGUCGAAACCAUUUACGGACGUCGAUGUGGUUUGUAUUGUCACUCAAUCUUAUGGUAGCUAUGUAUAAAAUAUGAUAAUUUAAUAUUUUAUGUAUGUAGAUAUUCAUCCAUGUGAAUUUCGGCGACAAUCAUUGGGUACUUGCUCGAGCGAACCUUCGCACGAAGAGGGUGCGGAUUUAUGACUUGUUGGUUAGCUUUCGCGACGAAAAAAUAUAUUUGCAUAAAUUCAAGCCUUUUCAGGUCGUCUUCACUCAAUAGCUUCAAGAUGUUGGAUUCUAGAACAUCUUACCAGAGUUGCAGAGUGCUAACCUUUGGAAAGUAAGAAUCGUUAAGGAUGUGCCCCAACAAGAACCUGGAAAUGGUGAUUGUGGUGUUUUUAUGUUGAUGUUUACAAUGUAUUUGAUGUUUGGGCUUAAACUUGAUUUCGAUGGUAGCCAUGGGCAUUACUUCAGGAAUAAAAUUGCUGUAGAUAUAUUUACAAGCGAUAUUGCCUUGUAAGUCAUUGUACUGUGUUGAGACUUGAUGUAUCGAUGUAGAUUAUUUUAAUGGAUACAAAUUUUUUUUAAAUUCAUAUGUUUAGCCAUAAGUAAUUAUUGAUCUAUUUUAGUACUUAUUAUGCAAAUGAACAUAAAAUAAAAUACCUCAUUAUAUAUAAUUGUAAAAUACACCAAAAUAAGAGUUCAAAGUCCAUAAUUAGUUAGAAUGAUACAGUUAGUUUGGAUUCGACACAAUGAAAUUUUUACAUCUCUUACGGUCAUGACCUAGUUGGCUGCAUCGCCCGCAUCUCACAGUUCUUCGGUUAACAUCCUCACCGAUAGAAGGUAUUCUUAACUUUGGAAAAAGAUGAAGUGGUGAUGCUUUGAUCAGUGGGCUAACUCUGAUUUCCUGGAUUUCUUCUGGAAUGUCUCAAUCUGUCAUGUCGCCAACCGGCUCUACUGGUUCUGCAUAUGCCAUGACCAAUGAAUCUUUAGAGUAAUAAUCAAAGCAAAGACUUAUGUAAUCCACGAGGAUGGUCAGACAAGCAGCAAUUGCAUGCGCACAAACAAGCUAAUCGAGUUGGAAUAAUCUACAAGAGUAAGUCUUUUCAUAAAUGUCAAUUAUCCAUUUCUUUAUACCACCACCCAAAACAUGGAAUCAAUGCUGAGACACAGGAUGAACAGUCAUUCUUUCGGCCAAAAUUCUCCUUUCGCUGACUAUCUCAUCUGCUCACGUCGUUAGACGAGUGCUCAUCGAUUCAGCCAUAAUUUUCCUAUCAUAAAACCAUUGUUGUAAUGUUUUUCUAAAGUGAGCAACAAGGUGAGUACCAGGAAAUUUUCGCAGUUCCUUCAUUAAAGAAUUCACGCUUUCCGCAAUGUUGACGGUAAGUAUACUAUAUCUCCUACCUUCAAAUUCAAACCUUGCCUAAUUACGCGUACCCACAUUAUUCUCUAAGUAAUCAGUUGCGCCUAAGUGAAGCAUCCACAACCCUUCAAGUUGCCUUUUAAAUUCUUCAUGUCCAUAUGCCUUUGCUGCAUUAAUAAAGGUUGGCUCAAAUUGAUCCCAAAGAGCUUUGGACAUCCUGAAUUUUGACUUAAAGUUGCCUUUGACAUGGUAAAAAUAAAUUCCAUAAGCAGCAGUGUGAAAUGCUUUCAAAAUGGCUCUCUUAAUCUUUCCGUGUAACUUUAUCAUAAACCAUUCUCAAGCAUCAUUAUUUUCUGAAUCCAUGACCCCAAUAGCUAACGGAUACAGUUGAUUAUUACCAUCCAGAUAUGUUGCUACAAACAUGCUUCCACGAUAUAGCCCCUUUAGAUGAGUGUCAUCUACAACGAUCACAGACCUACUGUACUACGUGAAGCCCUUGAUAGAAGAUCCAAGUGCUAUAAUGUAUUAUAAGAAAUUAUCAUUUCCAUCCCGCUUCCAUCCCGCUCGAGGUGUGUGACUGUACCCUCAUUCGUUUUGGUCAAAACGUGAGAGUAUUUGGGAAGUAAAUUGUAUGACUCAGCAGGGCUCCCUCGUACUAUUUCAAGACCGACUAUUUUAGCUCGGUAUGCUUGCUGAUAUGUUAACUGGACAUCGUAUUCAUCCUGCAUGUCUGCUCUAAUGUCAUUCGGCGUGUAUAUCCGUUUGUCCUAAAUAAAUUUAUCUGCGAUAAGAUGGCCAACAACCCGACUCCUUACUUGAAGGAGACCACUAGGCAAUAUCUCAUUAGAGCACGUGUGAACAUUGUCAACUCUUCUCACUACCCAAGGGACAUUCUGCUCAUUUGAAUCUCUCAUUGCACGAAGAUGUUAUUUACAUGAUUCCGAAGAACAGUGGGCCUCAAAGUGUGUCGUUAUGGAUCGUGCAAUCUUGAAAUCAAACUUUUCCCGCAAGGCCACUUUGCCCAAUUCCAGUAUUAACUCAUUCUUCUCAGCGAACAACUUACCCACACCAAUGUCAGCUAAAUUACAACUUCUAACUAAGUUUGGAGCAACCAAGUUUAAAGGCAAAAUUGGAGCAAGACUCACGAGGGGAUUAACUGUUAUCCUCCUCCUCGAACGGGCCAUUGGAAGAAUAGGUUGGUUGUCUCUAUUAUUAAUAGGAAUAUCAUACCGAUGCUCAUCCUCAUCAUUGAUAAGAAUAUUGGAAUGACCAAUACCCUUAUCAUCAACUUCAAUAUUGGAGUUCAUGCCUUGCAUACUAUUGAAUGGUUCCAAACAAGCAUUAUCAUAACUGCGGACGUCAUAACUGCGGAUAAUCAUUAUUGUGAAAUGGAGAGUAAUGUUGCCCUAACAAUGUCCCUAAUGGUAACACAUCUUCUUCAACAUCCACUAACGUAAUGUCGUUCUCAUCAAUGAUGUCAUUGUUUUCGUUGAGUGGAUAGUAACGUUGUUAGAACGACAUUUGCUGUGGUAAUACCUCUUCCUUAAUAUCGAGGACAGACUCAUUUGCUCUAAACGAAGUUUCACUUUCCACAAGUGGUUCAAGAUUUUCGGUCGGAACUCGAGGAGAUGUGGUGACAAAUAUAGGGAUGCAUCCAUAAUUGACCACAUCAGAGCCCAUGUGUAGCACAACCUUAACCAUUUCAUCAUUAAAUAUGUCCAUAGGUAGUGAACAUGCACGAUACAUUGUGUUACUAGACCUCAAAAUUGUCUUCAUCGUCAUACUAUAUUCGUUAGAAUUUAUCUGUAAAACUUCAUAUACCCUUGCCAGAUAUUGCUCAAACUUACAAUCUUUUCGAACUAAAAAUGUUGUAUUCUUGGCAUUCACGUACUCCGUACGACCAUCUAUUAACGUCUCUCAUCAACCGUGGUAACAUAAUUGAAGCACAACGAAAUCCAUUAAACCUAAAAAUUAUAUAAAAAAACAAAAGAUAUAAGAUUACAUGCUACAAAAUAGAUAAAGUGAAUAUGCACUACAUUUAUAUAGCUGAAAUGAAGUAUAUGAUUUUAGAUUUAAUUUGUCUCGUCGUAAGCUUCGAAACGGUAUAUUAUACGCCAAAAAUGGACACAUGUAGCCCAAGUAAUGAUUUUCAGAAAAUAGCUUAAAUUUAGUGGGACAAGCAGUGGGACAAGUGCUUGUCUCACAUAAAACCAGUGGAAACAAGUGAGACAGGCAGUGGGACAGGCGCCUAUCUCACAAAAAACCAGUGGGUUUAUGUGCGACAGGCGCCUAUCUCACUUGUUCUGGGUUUUUUUUUUUGCUUGAUUUUUUAAGGGUUUCAAUUAUUUAUCUUCAUUUCUCAACUCAAACUAAGUACUUUAACAAAUCACUUUGUUUUAUUAAUGAAAAAUAACAACUUUUGCAACAAAAACCCACUUUAAUUUCGAACUUAAAUGAUAAAAUCAAUAGAUUAAAAGUUUAGGUUAUGGUAAGAGCAUAAACUAACCUUAAGAAGCUCUCAAAUUGAUAAUUAUAUCUUCAAUUAUGCAAUGCUUGUUUGAUGGAAUUUGUUGAUUUAUUGAGAGUGAUGGAGUUUGUUGAGAGUGAUGAAGUUUGUUAAGUUGUUAAGGAAGAUCCGUAUUUAGUUGUGUUGGAAUUGAAAAAGUGGCAUGCCUUUGUAAAUUUGAUGAAAGUGAUGAAGGUAAUUUAGUCCAAAAAUAGGAUGUUUGGCUAGUUAUGAUAGAAAAAACUUUGGGAGGUCAAAAUUGAAAAAUGCAAAAGUUUUAUGGCUAUUUUUAUAAAUUUUCCUAAAAUAAUGAGGAGCCUAUUCCCGCUAAAAGAGACAUGACAUUAACUUGUUAGCACAAACAACCAUUAAUUAAUUUUAUAAUAUAUAAUUAAUUAAAUUUGUGAUCAAGUAAAAGCAUAUUAAUAUAAUUAUUCAAACAAUCUAAAGAGAAAUUUAGUCAAGAUUGACGGGCGAAAUUAUAAUUUCCAAGGAAUUUUUUAUGAGAUAUACUAAAUUAAUUAUGUUGAAUUAUGCAUAUGGACUCCAUCCACAACGGUUGGGAAAUAGAAGAAAUUUUAGGUAGUUCAAUUAUUUCCAUACUGAAGAGGUUUCAAGCUGGUCAACAUACACCUUUGGCAAACCAUCUCUAGUUAUAAAAAUCUUAAUCCCAACUUGAACUAGUUAUAAAUAAGAAUAAAUUCCAUAUUAUAAUAAAUUAUAAUUUUUUUAGAUUUCAUUUUAAGGAACUUGCCUCCAUAUAGUAAUAAUUAUCUGUAUGUUACAAAAAAUAUAUGCGUGUUUUUUAAAAUUAUAUCUAUCCCUAUUGUCAAUGCCUAUCCAUAUUAUUUGACUUGCUCUAUUAUUAAAUUAUUAAUAUAAUGCAUAUUUUACCUCUAUAUCACUUGUACUAAAGGUAGCUAAUAAAAACAAUAAUUUUUUUAACUAUACCUCUUUUAAGUUAUAACUAGGGGUGGGCAAUUUCGGAUUCGGAUGAAUCCGAUCGGAUUUCGGAUAAUUCGGAUUGAAAAAAAAUUCAUCCGAAUUUUCAUCCGAUCCGAAUAAUUCGGAUCGGAUGCGAAUAAUUCGGAUCGGAUGAGUUUGGAUUUCGGAUUCGGAUUAUAUUUUGGAUUCGGAUUAAUUCGGAUUGAAAUCGGAUUUGGACCUUUGUCACAAUUCUCACAAAAAAAUUAUGAAAUCUAUAAUUAAUGAAAACUUAUUAACCAUUAAAAAAAAAAGAAAAUGAAAACAAGCUAACAAAUGACAAUCUAAUAAUCUAUAUUGUAUUGUUUCCUUGACAAUAUGGCAUUGACAUAUACCAAGAAAACAAGCCGAUGCAAAGUUUCCAUUCACAAAAAUAAAAAAAAUAUAAAGUUAUAAACCAUUAAAAUGAAAACAUUUAAGUAAUCAAAUCUAAUAAUCUAAUAAUUUAUAAUCAACGACCCAUUUAUAUUCUCAUAUGCAUUCAUUUUGUACAAACACUCCCAUUUCAUUUAAUUAGUAAUGCUCUUACAAGUUAGGUGCAUAAACAUUACUCCAAGUCCAAGACUCCAAAUAAGCAACAUAAAAUAAACAUUGCUCCAAGUCUCUAAAUAAACAACACAAAAUAAACUUUGCUCCAACUCUAAGUCUCCAAGUAAACAACACAAAAUAAACAUUACUCCAAGUCUCCCAACAAACAACACAAAAUAAACAAUUAAACAUUACUCCAAGUCUCCAAAUAAAUAAACAACACAAAAUCAAAAAAUAAAUAUUAUCAUUAUAUCAUCCAACAAUAAAAUAAACCAAAAUAAAAAUUAUCAUCUAAAAACAUUUAGAUAGACUACAAGUUCCUCAAACCAAAAGUACAAUAACAUCAAAUUAAACUCACAACACACUUUGAUGAGUCCUUAACUUUUGCUUUCCAACUACCAACUUCAAUUUUCCUAACAUAAGAUCACAAACAAUUAUCAUGUUACAAUUGACUUAAAACCAAAAGUAAAACAAUUAUAAAUAUAAUACCUUGAAACCAAAAGAUUUAUUAAAUUUAAGAGUUACCUUACCUAUUCAAAUAUCAUGACGAAUACUAGCACCCAUCGUUGUAACUUGUAAUUGUUGAAGCUUGUGAUUGUACAUACUCUUUAAAAUGAAAAAAAAAACAUAAUAACUUAUAAUUAGUGCAUGAAUAAUAUAAAAAAUGUGUUAUAAUAAAUUUAAAAGGUAUUCUAUAUAAAAUGUAAUAUAAAAAAGUUACCCUCUUGUAACUCCAUUUGAUAUAUAUGAUCUUUCAACUCUUGAUUAAGGUCGUAGAUAGGAGUGGCAAAAAGUUUAGACUGCAACCAAUUUUCAGUGCAAAUCAAUGCUUCAAUCAUAGUGGGAGUUAAAGAACUCCUAUAUUCAUCAAUGAUACGACCCCCAGUGCUGAAGGCGGACUCCGAAGCCACAGUGGAUACCGGAAUUGCAAGGAUAUCCCUUGCUAUUUUCUGCAAUAUCGGAUACUUCGACCCGUUCACCUUCCACCAUAAUAAAACAUUUAGUUUAUCAUUACUAGGAUCUUCAAUCGGGUUAAGUAAGUAUCUUUCCACCUCGGUCGUCACAAGCUUACCCUCGUUUUGAAUUAAAACUUUCUUAGCAUAUCCAAGAAAAGGACGAGCAACUCGUAAAGUUUCAUCACCAUGUUCCAUUAUGUACCCUUGUUGCCGAUCCGUGUCAUCUAUAAGGUGCGGAGAAGAACUAGAACCGCCACCACCACCACUGGCACUGCCACUACGAAAACUCUCACUAGGCAAUGGUGGUGAGGAGUUCCAUCCACUAUAUGCAUCAAAAAGUGAAUUCAACAAGCCUUUCAUCACUGCGACCAUUUCUUCAAUCUUUGCACUAUCAUUGGAAAAAAUCAUACUAAAAAUAUGUUUAGUAAAAUCCAUUUUGCAGCGCGGAUCAAGUAUUGAGGCAAUAAUCAAGAUUUCGUUGAUUUUCUCCGUGCACUCCCAAUAUUUGUCAUAUUUUUCCCUCGUACUAGAAGCCAUCAAAUGCACAUAAACAUCUUUGCUUUUUUCUAAUGCACUCAAUGAAUUCUCGAUUAAGCCAAUUGUAUCGUAACAAAGAUUAGAAGUGACACUCAAAGAGGCUGAAAAAGUCAAUGUAGCAUCAUAAAAGAUCUUUAAAAACCUCACAAUUCUUUCGGCAUGUUCCCAAUCUUCAAGCUCAGAUGGCCUCACCCUUUUUUCCCGUUUUCUUCCUCUCUAAAGUAUGCUUCAUACGGUUUAUCCACUUCCGCCAUCCUCUCAAAUGCUUCCCGAAAUUUCAAGGCAGUCAUCAACAUCAAAUAGGUGGAAUUCCACCUAGUGAUACAAUCUAAAACCACAGUCCCAUUCGGGCCUUUCACAUGAUCUACACACUGUUUAAAUGCUUUUAAUCUCGAAGAGGAUGAUCUUACAUACUUCACAACAUUCCGAAUACCGGCAACUGAGGCAUGCAACUCUUUUAACCCCCCAGUGACAAUCAAAUUUAAGAUAUGUGCACAACAACGCACAUGCAUGUAAUCACCCCGCAACACAAGUGCAUCAACAUUCUUCCACAUAAGCAUUUGGUUCUUCACAUAAUCAAUAGCAACAUCAUUGCCCGACGCAUUAUCAACAGUUAUUGCACACACCCUCUCUAUUCCCCAUUCAAGCAAACAAGACUCAAUCUUUUUGCCAAUGGACUUCCCUUUAUGGUCUUCAAUCACGCUGAAACUAAUAAUCUUCCUAUGUAAACACCAAUCACUAUCAAUAAAGUGAGCUGUGAUUACCAUAUAACUCAUGUUUUGAACUGAAGUCCAUAUGUCAGUUGUAAGAGACACUCUAUGCUUAUUCUUACAUAUCAAACUCUUCAAAAUUCCUUUUUCUUCCAAGAACAUAUCCAUAACAUCUCUACUAAUAGUUCUCCGAGAUGGCAUAAUAAACUGAGGAACAGCUACAUUGCAAAAAUGCCUAAACCCUUUGUUGUCAACAAAAUUAAGCGGCAACUCGCCCAAGAUAAUCAUUUUACUAACUGCCCUUCUACAAGCUUCUUGACUCCAUCCUUUGGCCAAAACCAUAUUACUUGCAUUUCCUUCACCACUCUCGGCUGCCAAUUUUUGUUGUCUUUCAUCUUGCUCUCGCUUCACGUUCAAGUAUGUUUCACAUACUUUUAAAUGAGUUCCCAUAUUGCUAAUCCCAUCAAACCUAGGAUGACACUGAUAUAUCUUGCCACAAUAGUUGCACUUUGCUUUAUAUUGAUUGUCCUCAAGUACAGUGUAAUGAUUCCAUGUCUCAGAUCUUUUCUUCAUUGGUCGUCUCUGAGUUGGAUUCUUCCGCUUUGUAUUUGUCUUUUUUGUGGGUACUUGUACACUUUCAACUUCAUCAUCAUCAUUGGAAUUUGAUUUUGAAUGUCCAGUCAUCUGAAAAUACAAAAAUCAUAUCAAUCAUCAUUGUUCUGUAACUUCCGUUUAUGAAUUUUCAACUAAAAAAUAAAUAUAACUUUUGACUAUAUAUAAUCUCUUCAGCCUAGCUUACUAGCUAUACAAAUUCAUUUAUCAAAUUAUUAUUUGGAAAUAAAGCAAUUAAUGACAUUAACUUAUCAUAAAAUAAUUCUACUACCACAAUGUACGGUAUGAAGUUGAAUUUUUAAUUUUAAAGAAUUGAUAUUGUUCCUUAGUUUAUUAAUAAUUAAUAAACUAAUGUUAUAAAUGAAUAAUCAUACAUUAAAUAAUGAUGAUUAUUUAAUAAUUAAUAAAUUUGAAUUUUACAUCAAUACAUAUUCAUGUCUUUCUCAACUAAUAUUACAAAUGAAUAAUCAUACAUUAGAAAAAAUAAAAGGAAAAACAUAAUAAUUCAUGUCUUGCUCACGGGUUUGGGGACAGUUUGCAAGCGGCUAGCCGCUUGCUCUCGGGUUUGGCCCAAACCAUUUGGUGGCAUUUUCGGAUUUUCAUUUUCCAAACAGUUACCACUUACCAACUUACCCGCAAGGCAACAAAAAAAUCCCUAAAAGUCGAAAAGAAGCAUGAAAUUCUAAGUGAGUUGUGUUAACUUUCAAAGUUUCAAUUGUCAUGGGUCGGGUUUAAUUGCUUACCAUGAAUAAAGUUGCUAGGUGCUCGAGAAAUAGUGGAAGUGGAUUAUCAGCGUUUGGCGUGGCAACUGGCCGGCGCUGGAUGUGAUCAGUUUGGGUGGUUGAAGAGGCAGCUGUCAGCUGGGUUUCAGCUGGUUUUAAGUCGAUUAAUUAGGUUCCGUUCGCCUGGGUUUCAGUCGAAAUCGGCUAGCUUCCAGUCGAUUGGUGUCAGUGGGCCGGCGGGAGCUGAGUUUUGGCGUGGUCGUUACUCGUUAAUGGGUUGAAGACAGAUGACGGGAUGAAGCUGGUUUUGGCAUUUUGCUUUUGCUCUGCUGCUCGUGCUCGCUGAGUCCUGUGUCUUUUGUUAAUGUCAGUUUGAGUGUUUGACAGUUUGAGACUUUGAGUUGGUACUUGGCUCAGUUGGCUGUGACCUGUGCUCAGUGUGUUGUGAGUCUGUGACUGAGAGUGAGAUGUAAGAUCUGAGAGUGAGUGAACAAUAUUAAGUGUGAACUGGUGAGUGGUGACUGCACUGGUGAUCCGAAUUCCGAAGUCCGAAGUCCAAAUCCGAACAUGAGUUAAACUUAUUUUUUUAGCACUUUAGCUUAUUUAUUUAAUUUUAUUUUUUUUUGUUUAUAGUGCAGAUCCGAUCGGAUGAUUCGGAUUGAUCCGAAUCCGAUCCGAUCCGAACCAAAUCCGAUCAGAUCGCUCAAACUUCAUCCAAUCGGAUUUGCCUUCAAAUCCAAAUCCGAUCCGAUGCCCACCCCUAGUUAUAACCUUCUCAUAGAAAUAAAAUUAGUUGAUCACAACAUUAUAACUAUGAAAAGGUUUUACUGUAUCAAUUGAGUGGAUAUAAUGCUCUUUUACCAUUUGUUGGGAGGGAAAAUCUAUUUAGCUUCAGGAACAAAGUUACGAGUGCUUUACCAAAGAGUAAUGUUGGGGAUCUCAAUAGUUGAGUCCCAAUUGGACUCUUAAUUGAUGCGCCAUGUAUCUAUUGGAUGAUAAAAUAUUAAUUUUUCUAGUUGAAACGCCCAAUUUAUUAAGAUUUGUCAAAACCUGGUGUAAAAAAUUAUUAGCAAUAGAUUUAAGGGGAAAAUGGUCAUUUUAGUAUUUUCGCAUUUCCAGAUGAGUAAAAGAAUGUUAUUUUUGGAUUCCGGAGGGUCAAGAACCUUAGCACAGGUGAUAACCGAGAUUAAAAUGGAGAUAGAAUUAAGAAUAGAUAUUUGGUAGAUGUUGAAAUCCAGUGUGGUAAGAUUUACAGUGUUAUGGUGCAAAUCAAUGAAAAUAUGCAGGUAAAACUUUAUUAAUUGUAGUACAGGAAUACAAGUAAACCUUUAUUAAUUGUAGGGCAGAAUUUGAUAAUUGUGAUGACAGCAGCACAUAAGUACUCUUGAGGAAUAAAUUGCAGAGCUUAUUCCAAAAGACAACACUAGUAGUUUAUAUAGGAUGUAAUCUGCAUCGCAGAAACUACUCAGAAGGGAACAGGCUUCUCAAGCAAUGUGGUGAUGUAGUCUUUGAUCACAUAAGAGUUGGUGUAGCCAUCAUCAUCCUUGUAAAUAACAUCCAUCACCCGUGCAAGAUUGAGAAUGCGCUCAAGGAGAGGCAUUGCCACUUCUGUUGGUUUCAGGAAUCCUUCAUUUAUAUCUUUUCAUCCAUUUGAUAUUUCUUUGCGGAAUACUUUAAUUACCUCUUCAUCAGAGACGCCAUGCUGCUUCAUGUAACAUUCAAUACCCGAGGCAACAUGCUUUCUUUUUUGUUCAAACUACAAACACAGAAGUUAACAAUAAUAAUAAUAAGACGAUGAAUUUAUAACCAUGCAUCAAUAUUAAUAUAUACUGUACCUCAUGAGACACUAUAUCAUCCAUAAGUCUGCAAAUAACUUCGGAGGCUUUCACAAUUUCAGGGUAAUUGGAGAUCCUUUCAAAGGCCAGCUUAUCAGCAAUCUUUCCCAUACCAAGAAAAGAAGCCGUUGCCAGCAUAUGAUAGCAAGUUGUCACGAGUGAAACUUGCAUAUACUCCUCUACUUUUGGAAAAUAACCUUCAUUGCACCACUUGGCUUCCUCAAAGUAGGCUUGGACUACUUUCUUCACCUGGUAAACAAAUAUUAUAACUUUAAUAGUAAUAAGAGCAAGGUUGAAAGCCAUUUUUGGCACCAGCCCCAAUAUAUAUAUAUAUAUAAUUUACCGCUUGUAUGACAUAUGACAUGCAAUAUGUCCGUCCUUCCUUUGAGAUUUGCUCCUCAGCUUCACCAAAAACAUCCAAGAGUUCUUGAUAAAUCAGUUUAAUGUACUUCGGAAGUACAUCUAUAUUGCUAAUAUCCCACCUGAAAAUCAAGUGACAAAACCUCCCAUCUUAGAAAAUAUAAAUAGGAAAUUUAAUUUUAACUAAAGAUACAUACAAUUAACUGAGCUGAAUAGGUUGAGUAGAUUUCGUGAACUUGACCUUUUGAUAGCAUUUGUAAAGAGCUCAAGUUCUUCAAGUGUGCCAUAGGCGUCGUAGGUAUCAUCUAAAAUGGAUGCCAUUGCAAUUACUUUGGACAAUAUCUUUCUUGCAAAGGAGUAUCGAGGCUCAAAAUACACUCCCAUUGCCCAAAAAUAGCAUUCUACAACUCUGUUUCUAGCAUAUGGCAGAUUUAUUUCAACAUCUAAAAUUUUCCACCACCUAAAAAUUCAAGUAGUGUCAGUCUAGUCGUAAAUAUUUAUUCAGUUAAAUUUGAAGUUAUCGUCUAAAAAUUUUGAACUUACUCUGUGAUGAUACUUAACUCCUUGCGGUGAAUUACUUGAAGCAUGGAAAAAUCUAGUUUUGCAAACUUUAGUAAUAUUGCUUUAUCCUUUGAAUCAUCUUGCGAGUAGAGGUCGAUGUAAUAGAUUGCCUCUAGCCUUGGUAAGCCUCUGCGGAUGGGCCUAUUCAACGCAUGAAGUAUUUCAUCAGAAAGCUGAGGGCUUACUUGAGUAACCAUUGAUUCCAGGUGAGAAGUAGUGAAAGCUACGGCUUCAUCCAGGAUAUCUUCCCCGCGAAUGCGAAGAUGUGCAGCCUCAUACAAACUUAGCAUGCCGGUCAAAUCAUUAAUUAAGGAUACCUUGAACUUUCCUCGAUCAUCUUUGAA
rnacentral:lncRNA from 1 species